AGGAUUUUUCUGAUGAUUUGUGUUAUCAUUAAAAGUGUAGUCAUCUAGACAGAUGCGACAGUAAAUCCUCUUUUGCAACCCAGAACUCAUUGUUCAGUAUGAGUUUUGAUACAUACAAGAAGGAAUAUA